UUUCUUCUACUUCAUUUAUUCGGUCCAAGCAUCAGAAAAAUUAUAAGCAGUAGCACCACAUGCUCCUCCUCUUCCCUAAACGUACCGCCACCAUUUACAUCGGUACCAUCACUUUAUUUCCAAUCCCACCACCACCACCACAAAUGCAACAUCUAGUAUUGAAUUCUUCAUCGUCGCCGCCGCCUCUAAAUCAAGAACAUACAGAUCUAGAAAUGGAUUGAUUAUCUUCUUUCUCUUUUUGGAUUUGUAUUCUCGUGAUACAAAUCGAAAUUCAAGCUAUGUCGAUUCCUAAAUUGGUGAUGGAGAUUAAAGUUAUUGUUGUUGGUGGUGGUGAGAAUAGGAUGAUGAAAUUGGUGAAGGAGAUAGUGGCGGUUCUGGUUGUUGAGGUGGUGGUGGAGAUUUGGUGUGAUUUUGGUGGUUGGGAGAUGGUGGUGGUGGUGAUUUCUUGUGGAUGUGAAAGAAGAAAGGCCUUUGUACAUAUUGGGAGGAUAGUGCGGAAAGCUUAUAUGAAGUAUUGAAAUGAAUGAGAUAUUUUUCUAGUUUCGGAGUUGUUCUUGGGGAAGAUGGAGAUACUUAAAGUUAGUGGUCAAUACAUAGCUUUCCUUGUAGUCACUCUAUGAAAAGGAAGUGUGGUUACCGUGGCAUGCUUGCAUAUCAUAAUCUCCAGACAUGACGAAGUACCCCCAUGGGAUGCUCGUGCACCAACAUUCCGAGGGCGGCCUCAUAUGUCCAACUUGUAUAGGAUUAUGUUCAACUUUUAACGUUUCUGAACUUGUUAUCUUUGUUUUGAUAUUUUUAUGAAGGUGGCAUGUUAUGUUUCAUUUUUCAGAUAUUUAAUGUUUCUGAACUUGUUAUCAUUGUUUUUUGAUAUUUUUUUAUUCCAGUUUUUCUUUUUUUUUGAA